rnacentral:rRNA from 1 species
ACUCCUACGGGAGGCAGCAGUGGGGAAUAUUGCACAAUGGGGGAAACCCUGAUGCAGCCAUGCCGCGUGUGUGAAGAAGGCCUUCGGGUUGUAAAGCACUUUCAGUAGGGAGGAAGGUAGUGUAGUUAACACCUGCAUUAUUUGACGUUACCUACAGAAGAAGCACCGGCUAACUCCGUGCCAGCAGCCGCGGUAAUACGGAGGGUGCGAGCGUUAAUCGGAAUUACUGGGCGUAAAGCGCAUGCAGGCGGCCUGUUAAGUCAGAUGUGAAAGCCCGGGGCUUAACCUCGGAAUUGCAUUUGAAACUGGCAGGCUAGAGUCUUGUAGAGGGGGGUAGAAUUUCAGGUGUAGCGGUGAAAUGCGUAGAGAUCUGAAGGAAUACCAGUGGCGAAGGCGGCCCCCUGGACAAAGGACUGACGCUCAGAUGCGAAAAGCGUGGGGAGCAAAACAGGAUUAGAUACCCUGGUAGCACAGAG